rnacentral:misc_RNA from 1 species
GGUUGAGUUUCUCGCCUCUCUGUUCUGCCUGUAUUCUACCCUUGUUUGUCAUAUACUAUUAUUUCCUCGGCAGGCUUGCUUGCCGAGUGAAACCAAUUAUAACCUAUUUAAUUUUCAAUCAGCGUCUGAACAAAAUUAAUAAUUACAACUUUCAACAACGGAUCUCUUGGUUCUGGCAUCGAUGAAGAACGCAGCGAAAUGCGAUAAGUAGUGUGAAUUGCAGAAUUCAGUGAAUCAUCGAAUCUUUGAACGCACAUUGCGCCCCUUGGUAUUCCAUGGGGCAUGCCUGUUCGAGCGUCAUUUGUACCUUCAAGCUUUGCUUGGUGUUGGGUGUUUGUCCUGAGGGACUCGCCUUAA